rnacentral:rRNA from 1 species
UACGUAGGGUGCGAGCGUUGUCCGGAAUUAUUGGGCGUAAAGAGCUCGUAGGCGGUCUGUCGCGUCGGCUGUGAAAACCCGGAGCUCAACUCCGGGCCUGCAGUCGAUACGGGCAGACUGGAGUACUGCAGGGGAGACUGGAAUUCCUGGUGUAGCGGUGAAAUGCGCAGAUAUCAGGAGGAACACCGGUGGCGAAGGCGGGUCUCUGGGCAGUUACUGACGCUGAGGAGCGAAAGCGUGGGGAGCGAACAGG